AUGUAUUAUUUAAUUUUAAAAAAAUCUGUUCUUAUCAGUUUAAUAUCUGAUAUGUCCUCCAAUGUGAGGACUAUAUAUUAAACAGAUUUUUAGCACUGGGGGCUGAAAUAGGGGCUUGCUCCUUUCACUCCACGCAUCGACCUGGUACUGCAGUGCCGCCAGGAACGGUGCACCCUUC
rnacentral:snRNA from 1 species